rnacentral:rRNA from 1 species
UUUAAUGGCCGCAGUAUUUUGACUGUGCAAAGGUAGCAUAAUCAAUAGUUUCUUAAUUAGAAGCUGGAAUGAAAGGUUUGAUGAGAAAAAAGCUGUCUCAAUUUUAAUUUUAAAAUUUUAUUUUUAAGUAAAAAAGCUUAAAUUUUUUAAAAAGACGAGAAGACCCUAUAGAAUUUUAAAAAAAUUAUACUUAAUUAUUUGAAGAUUAAUAAUUAACUAUUAUUAUUUUUUUUUUAUUGGGGUGAUAUAAAAAUUUAAUAAACUUUUUAUUUAUUUAAACAUUUAUAAAUGAUUUUUUGAUCCUAUAUUUAGAUUAUAAGAAUUAAUUACCUUAGGGAUAACAGCGUUAUUUUUUUUAAAAGUUCUUAUUAAAAAAAAAGUUUGCGACCUCGAUGUUGGAUUAAAAUUAAAUUUUGGUGGAGAAGCUACAAAUUUAGU